rnacentral:lncRNA from 1 species
GUGUUUGUGGGCAAUUCCUUUUUUUUUUUUUUUAAAGAUUUUAUUUAUUCAUGAAAGACAAUUCCUAUUUAAUAAGAGUCGCACAGUUGAAAAGUGGCAUGGAAUGGUCCUGGGCUGGAGGUACAAAUGUGCCAUGGCCCCAGAGUCACUGUGUACAGUGAAAGAGGCCACCGACGGGAAGCACUGAAGAGUUACUGCAGCUCCUUCACUCACACCUGUGUAGCCACGGACAAGAAUUGCAAAGCUCAUUCGAUUGAUUGCACACACUGGACAGAGUCACGCUGAUGGGAACCCAUGGAUGGAUUUAGAAUUCUCUUCAUACACAUAAUCCUGUGAAAACCAAG